rnacentral:misc_RNA from 1 species
UUGAUUCAUUUGUUUUUGUGACUCGGAAGGAAAUUCCACUGGCGCGAAAGCAAGAGUUUGGGUCCCCCGGCGGGCGCCUGGUUCCGGGCCGUCGCCCCGCGGGGGGGUUCUGGCGCCGGGGCGGCCCGCCGAAGCAACGUAUGGUAUGUUCACAGGGGUUUGGGAGUUUGUAAGACUCGGUAAUGAUCCCUCCGCUGGUUCACCAACGGAGA